AUUGAACGCUGGCGGCAUGCCUUACACAUGUUAGUCGAACGGCAGCACGGAGCUUGCUCUGGUGGCGAGUGGCGAACGGGUGAGUAAUAUAUCGGAACGUACCCUAGAGUGGGGGAUAACGUAGCGAAAGUUACGCUAAUACCGCAUACUAUCUAAGGAUGAAAGUGGGGGAUCGCAAGACCUCAUGCUCGUGGAGCGGCCGAUAUCUGAUUAGCUAGUUGGUAGGGUAAAAGCCUACCAAGGCAUCGAUCAGUAGCUGGUCUGAGAGGACGACCAGCCACACUGGAACUGAGACACGGUCCAGACUCCUACGGGAGGCAGCAGUGGGGAAUUUUGGACAAUGGGCGAAAGCCUGAUCCAGCAAUGCCGCGUGAGUGAAGAAGGCCUUCGGGUUGUAAAGCUCUUUUGUCAGGGAAGAAACGGUGAAAGCUAAUAUCUUUUGCUAAUGACGGUACCUGAAGAAUAAGCACCGGCUAACUACGUGCCAGCAGCCGCGGUAAUACGUAGGGUGCAAGCGUUAAUCGGAAUUACUGGGCGUAAAGCGUGCGCAGGCGGUUUUGUAAGUCUGAUGUGAAAUCCCCGGGCUCAACCUGGGAAUUGCAUUGGAGACUGCAAGGCUAGAAUCUGGCAGAGGGGGGUAGAAUUCCACGUGUAGCAGUGAAAUGCGUAGAUAUGUGGAGGAACACCGAUGGCGAAGGCAGCCCCCUGGGUCAAGAUUGACGCUCAUGCACGAAAGCGUGGGGAGCAAACAGGACUAGAUACCCUGGUAGUCCACGCCCUAAACGAUGUCUACUAGUUGUCGGGUCUUAAUUGACUUGGUAACGCAGCUAACGCGUGAAGUAGACCGCCUGGGGAGUACGGUCGCAAGAUUAAAACUCAAAGGAAUUGACGGGGACCCGCACAAGCGGUGGAUGAUGUGGAUUAAUUCGAUGCAACGCGAAAAACCUUACCUACCCUUGACAUGGCUGGAAUCCUCGAGAGAUUGAGGAGUGCUCGAAAGAGAACCAGUACACAGGUGCUGCAUGGCUGUCGUCAGCUCGUGUCGUGAGAUGUUGGGUUAAGUCCCGCAACGAGCGCAACCCUUGUCAUUAGUUGCUACGAAAGGGCACUCUAAUGAGACUGCCGGUGACAAACCGGAGGAAGGUGGGGAUGACGUCAAGUCCUCAUGGCCCUUAUGGGUAGGGCUUCACACGUCAUACAAUGGUACAUACAGAGCGCCGCCAACCCGCGAGGGGGAGCUAAUCGCAGAAAGUGUAUCGUAGUCCGGAUUGUAGUCUGCAACUCGACUGCAUGAAGUUGGAAUCGCUAGUAAUCGCGGAUCAGCAUGUCGCGGUGAAUACGUUCCCGGGUCU
rnacentral:rRNA from 1 species